GUCACAUACACAAAAUAUACCGGCAACCCUUAAAGACAUAUUGUCCCUGUUUAGUCCAAGUGGCUAGGUUUGCCACACUGACCAUACAGGUAUGGUGUGAGCUUCUUUUGAGCCCAGACCAGGGCUAGACACUCUUUUUCCACUGCCGCGUAGCUCACUUCCCUGGGCAAUAGUUUUCUACUCAGGUACGCGACAGGGUGUUCCCCUCCAUCUUCCCCGACCUGGC